rnacentral:rRNA from 1 species
UACGGAGGAUCCAAGCGUUAUCCGGAUUUAUUGGGUGUAAAGCGCGCGUAGGCGGUAGGCCAAGUCUGCUGUGAAAUCGCCCGGCUCAACUGGGCGCGGUCGGUGGAAACUGGUCAACUGGAGGACGGUAGAGGCGAGUGGAAUUCCCGGUGUAGUGGUGAAAUGCGUAGAGAUCGGGAGGAACACCAGUGGCGAAGGCGGCUCGCUGGGCCGGACCUGACGCUGAGGCGCGAAGGCGUGGGGAGCGAACGGG